rnacentral:rRNA from 1 species
AUGGGUCGUCUUGAUUCGGAGGCGCCGACGUCGAGCAUCAUCGCCGCGGGGCUGACUGCUCUCCACGACCACGCCCACGGACACGGGGGAGGCGCGGCGGCGCCGACGAGUGCAGGCUCGGCCUUCGACACCAACGUGGUGAUCAUCCUUGCCGCGCUCUUCUUCGCGCUGCUCUUCGCCAUCGGGCUCAACUCGCUGGCGCGGUGCGCGCUGCGGCACGUGGGCCGCGGAGCCGCGGUCGCCGCCGGCGAGGGCGGGGCGACGGCUCGGGCGGCCUUCAACGGCAGCGGCAUCAAGAGGCGCGUGCUGAGGAGCCUCCCCGUGGAAGUGUACGGAUCCGGGGAGGUCAUCGACGACGUGUGCGCCAUAUGCCUCGGCGAGUUCGUCGACGGCGAGAAGGUGCGCGUGCUGCCGGAGUGCUGCCACGGGUUCCACGUCCGGUGCGUCGACGCAUGGCUGGUGUCCCACAGCUCGUGUCCGACGUGCAGGCGGCCGGUGAUCGAGGACUCUCUCGCGAAGGGCGGCGAAGCCAAUGCCGCCGUAGAGAACAACACGAUCACAGUGGUCAUCGUUUGA